GUACGAUGCCGUGUAGAAACCAAAGUGCAAUGGGUUUAAUCAAAACUACCAUACCCUUCCAGAUCAGCUCGCUUCCAUCUUAGACAGCAUCAUCGCUUACCAUCAGGUGAGAUUGUAGGCAAGGGCUAACAUGUAUUUGAUUUUU